UACAGAGGUCUCAAGCGUUGUUCGGAUUCAUUGGCGUAAAGGGUGCGUAGGCGGCGCGGUAAGUCGGGUGUGAAUCUCGGAGCUUAACUCCGAACGGCAUUCGAUACUGCCGUGCUUGAGGACUGGAGAGGAGACUGGAAUUUACGGUGUAGCGGUGAAAUGCGUAGAUAAUUCGCAAGAACACCAGUGGCGAAGGCGGCUCACUGGCCCGAUACUGACGCUGAGGCACGAAAGCGUGGGAGCAAACAGGAU
rnacentral:rRNA from 1 species